GAUGAACGCUGGCGGCGUGCUUAACACAUGCAAGUCGAACGGAAAGGCCCAAGCUUGCUUGGGUACUCGAGUGGCGAACGGGUGAGUAACACGUGGGUGAUCUGCCCUGCACUUCGGGAUAAGCCUGGGAAACUGGGUCUAAUACUGGAUAGGACCACUUCUUGGAUGGUGUGGUGGAAAGUUUUUUCGGUGUGGGAUGAGCUCGCGGCCUAUCAGCUUGUUGGUGGGGUAAUGGCCUACCAAGGCGUCGACGGGUAGCCGGCCUGAGAGGGUGUACGGCCACAUUGGGACUGAGAUACGGCCCAGACUCCUACGGGAGGCAGAAGUGGGGAAUAUUGCACAAUGGGCGCAAGCCUGAUGCAGCGACGCCGCGUGGGGGAUGACGGCCUUCGGGUUGUAAACUCCUUUCGCUAGGGACGAAGCGUUUUUGUGACGGUACCUGGAGAAGAAGCACCGGCUAACUACGUG
rnacentral:rRNA from 1 species